GAUGAACGCUGGCGGCGUGCCUAAUACAUGCAAGUCGAGCGAACAGACGAGGAGCUUGCUCCUUUGACGUUAGCGGCGGACGGGUGAGUAACACGUGGGUAACCUACCUAUAAGACUGGAAUAACUUCAGGAAACCGGAGCUAAUACCGGAUAAUAUUUCGAACCGCAUGGUUCGAUAGUGAAAGAUGGCUUUGCUAUCACUUAUAGAUGGACCUGCGCCGUAUUAGCUAGUUGGUAAGGUAACGGCUUACCAAGGCAACGAUACGUAGCCGACCUGAGAGGGUGAUCGGCCACACUGGAACUGAGCCACGGUCCAGACUCCUACGGGAGGCAGCAGUAGGGAAUCUUCCGCAAUGGGCGAAAGCCUGACGGAGCAACGCCGCGUGAGUGAUGAAGGUCUUCGGAUCGUAAAACUCUGUUAUUAGGGAAGAACAAACGUGUAAGUAACUGUGCACGUCUUGACGGUACCUAAUCAGAAAGCCACGGCUAACUACGUG
rnacentral:rRNA from 1 species